GUAAACUUAGUCGAACGGCCUUUAAUAUAGAUUUUAAUAGUAAUAGUAAAUAUUUUAAUAAGAAUUUGAAGGACCAAAGUAGAGAAAGGUUCUAUAUAAAUAGUAAUUAGAUAUAGGUUAGUCGAUCUUAAAUUAUAGGGAAGUUCCGUUUUAAAGGGGUAUUUAUACCCUAUAUAGCGAAAAGGAAGCCGGUUAAUAUUCUAAUACCUAAAUAUAGAUUUUACGCAGUAAUAUAAUUAAAUACAGAGACGACGGCGGGGGCCCCAGGUAGAAUUCUCUUUUCUUUUUAAUAAUUUAUUAUUUUAAAAAUAGUUUAUUUAAAGAUAAGGUUUAAUAGCCGGAAGAGUCCAAUAUUUCUAUCGGGUCCGGUACACUUUCGACGUUCCUUAAAAAUCCGCGGAAGGGAAUAAUUCUUAUACUAGGUCGUACUUAUAACCGUAGUAAAUCUCUAAAGUAAAUAACCUUUAAUUAAUAGAAUAAUAUAAAUAAAGGAAGUUGGUAAAAUAGAUUUGUAAUUUCGGGAAAAGAAUUGGCUUUAAAGGUUAAGUACGUCGGGCUUUAAGUAGACGCUUUAGGAGUAGAUCGCUAUUAGCCAGGCAAUUAGCCAGCGGUUUUUAAUAUUCGGGUAUAGAAGUUUUUAAUAAAUUUUAAUUGUCCGGCGUAUAUUUAAUAAUUAAUUUAGAAUUAGUAUAGAUAGGGGGAAUUUAAUUAUUUAAUUAAAAUAUAGUAUUAUAAUAGCUAGAAAGUAGUAUUAAUGCAAUAUGAUUUUUGCCUAGUACUCUGAAUAUUAAAGUAAAGAAAUUCAAUUAAGUAUAGGUAAACGGCGGGAGUAAUUAUAAUUCUCUUAAGGUAAUUAAAUACCUUAUUAUUUAAUUAGUAAUAUAUAUAAAUAAAUUAAUAAGAUUCCUAUUAUCCCUAUCUAUUAUUUAGUAAAACUAUAAUUAAGGGAAUAGGCUUAGUAGAAUUAGCGGGGAAAGAAGACCUUAUUGAGUUUGAUUCUAAUUUAAUAUUAUAAAAAGAUAUAGGAGGUAUAGAAUAAGUAGGAACUUCAGCGCCGGUGAAAUACUACUACUCCUAUUAUUUUUUUAUUUAUUUAAUUAAACGGAGCUGGAUUUUCGUUUAAUUUUUAGUUUUAAGGUCCUUUACGGGCCAAUCCGGGUUAAAGAUAUUAUUAAGUAGGGAAUUUAGCUAGGGCGGUACAUUUAUUAAACUAUAAUAUAAAUAUCUUAAGGGGGGCUUAUAGAGAAUAGAAAUCUUUAGUAGAAUAAAAGGGUAAAAGUCCCCUUAAUUUUAAUUUUUAAUAUAAAUAUAAACUAUAAAAGUAUAGCCUAUCAAUCCUUUAGUCCUUCGAAAUUUGAAGCUAGAAGUAUUAAAAAAAUUAUUAUAGGGAUAAUUGGCUUAUAGCGGCUAAAUAUUUAUAGCGACGUUGUUUUUUAAUCCUUUAAUAUCGGUUCUUCCUAUUAUACCGAAGUAGAAUUUAGUAAGCAUUAAAUUAUUUACCUACUAAUAGGGAAUAUAAAUUAGGUUUAAACUAUUGUAAAAUAGGUUAAUUUUACUUUAUUAAUAACCUUAUUAUAAUAGUAAUUAAAUUUAGUAUAAAAGGAACUACUUAUUUAAAUAAUUGGUUUUUAUAGUUAUUCGACCGGGUAGUACUACAACGCUACUAUUUAUUAAAUAAUAGUUAAACGCUUCUAAAUUAAAAUCUAUAUUAAAAUAUAAUAAUACUUUUAGUACGUUAUAAAUAUAUAAGAAUAGGCUCCGGCCUUGUAUUUUAGUAGGCGAUUCCUCUAUUGGCCUUAAAGUAGCUAGUAGUAAUUUAUAUAUUAUAAUUUUAAUAUACGUUGGAUUAAAUCUUUUAUAAAUAAUUUAAAUAUAUAAAAGGGUCCUAUAAAUAAUAGAAUAGCCUUAUUGUUACAAUUUACUAAAAGUAAGCCCUCCUUCGCUUAGAUUUCC
rfam:Neurospora crassa OR74A unplaced genomic scaffold supercont12.8, whole genome shotgun sequence.